UUAAUCAAAACCAAACAGAGGUAAAUCAUUGUUAAUGAUUUUAUUGAAUUAAUUAUUCUGAUUAAA
rnacentral:tRNA from 1 species